UACGUAGGUGGCAAGCGUUGUCCGGAUUUACUGGGCGUAAAGAGCGCGCAGGCGGCUGGUCAAGUCCGAUGUGAAAUCUCCCGGCUCAACUGGGAAACUGCAUCGGAAACUGAUCGGCUUGAAGGUGGGAGAGGGUAGUGGAAUUCCCGGUGUAGUGGUGAAAUGCGUAGAUAUCGGAAGGAACAUCAGUGGCGAAAGCGGCUUCCUGGACCGGCACCGACGUUCAGGCACGAAAGCGUGGGGAGCAAACAGG
rnacentral:rRNA from 1 species